GGCCGCGUGGCCUAAUGGCUAAGGCGCUAGAUUUCGGUGGUGAUGAAAGCUGAUCUCUCUAGAGAUUCCAGGUUCGACUCCUGGCGUGGUCG